CGGAAUUCCAUCGGAUUAGUGAUUUUUAUAGGCGAAGAAGGAUAGUCGUUUCUCGAAUGAAAACCGAGGUAGAACGGAUGGAACUGGAUCUUGUCGCCGACACGAAAUUGUAUUUCUUCCGGCGGCGGCUAUCGAGAUAGCGACUCUUCGCGUUCAGAAUACGGUUUUAGGAGUAGCCGUGCACCGUUCGAAUCGCGAGUAAAUCUAUCUUCGAGCGUCCCUUCCGGUCCCUGGCGGCAGGCCAGCGGACACCACGCGCCGCUAGCAUUUCCGACCAAACGGCCACAGACACGAGAAUCCGAUAGAUUUCACCCCUUAUAUUUGACUGGUACGUCGCUUACGAUAUCCGGUCCGUUUUUCAAGGUACCUCGUAUCGAUCCAGUAGAUAUCUGACUGACUUCGGAGAACAAAUUGGAUAUAUUCAAUAAAGAACAUGGAGCAUAUUCGAACAAAUAUUAGAGGAAAUGAAGCGGAGGAGAUUUUUUUGAAAAACGUAUAUAAAUCAUGGGACAGUUGUAUUUGUAGUCAAAUUUGAAGAAAGUGAUUUAAUUAUGGAAAUAAUUGUGGUUCGUUUAUAUAGGAAAGUAAAGGGUACUAUAUUUAUGUAUUAAAAAUGUUAUUAAAAAGUAAAAAAUAUAUAAUUACUCAUCUAUCUGUCGCACUCGACUUUUUCGACGUUUUAUUAUACAUGAUAUUUUCGUUAAACGUUUCGUUCUCCCAGUAUGAUUCGAAAUGAAUUUUUAGGAACGAGUAUAUUUUAAUUAAAAAUAUUUUUAAUAAAGAGUAAUUUUAGUGUUUUCACGGUUUCGUCCUGUUCUAUAAUUUUCCACGAGUUUCUUCUAUUAAAUAGAAACGACGAAUAAGAGACAGUGAAACAGUGACAAAGUGGAAUGAAAUGAAAAGAAAAUAUGGCGUGUAGUGGCAAAGGAUCUACGUCAAGGAACUGUAAGUAACUCUUCAGCACUUCGAAAGAAAAGCGGCAUAGGUUGGCACGAACCGAUUCUUUCACUACGCCAAGGAAUGCAGCUUUCGAUCGAUCGUUUCUCUCCCUUCGCUCCAUCCCUUUUCUGCUCCUGUAACCCCUUUUCCUCACUUUGGUCGCGUGCACGAAAUCGGUCGGUGCUAUCUUCGUGACAGUGAGACCCGAACUCGAUUCCAGCCAUCGCGUCGUCGACUUCUCUUGUGCGAUUUCUUUUCUGUGCAUUCGAGUAGCUCGCCACGUAUCGUGGUCGAAGCGAUAUCAAAAGGUAUCGAUUCCAGCUCUCUCGGUGAUGAUUAAAUUCAUUAAUCCUUCCACCCUCGCAUUUCUUUCGAUCUGACGAGCAAUUGUUAAUAUUUCCUCUUUAAGUAUAAUUGUUUGAUCGCUGUAUAACAACGUAGUUGGUAUUCUGGUAAAGAACAGAACCUAAAUAGAAAUUUGUUUUUAAUACUUUUGCAUGUUACGCGCAUUCCGCGUAUUCUGUCACCUUUAAGUUUCCUAUCAACGAAUAAAACUGCGCACUCUAGUAAUUAUUAUUAUCCCUACACUAUACUAAAUUAUUAUAUAUAUAUUUUAUGAACUGUUAUCAAAUUUAUAGAUUCCUUAUACAUUUGACAAACUAUUUUCCAAUCUAUCAGCUUUCAAGUAUUCAAAUUAAUUGUACUCUUCUACAAAUGUAAUCUAAUCGAAGCAAGCCCAUUAUUUAUGGUAUUGAAGAUCUCAAUUGAACGACGCGACAGAUAAAACGCGGCGACGAUUCGUUCACUGGCCGAUAACAACCUGCGGAGAAUUAAUUAGAAACCGCACCUGGCUGGCUGGCUGGUUGGUUGGUUAUUUAUUCGCGCUAAUUGUGUUUCCGCAAUUAGAACGUAGCCGAUCGAGAAACAAUUGGGCCGGGCGCCAACGAAGACGCAAUUGGCCAGGCUAUUCUUCGUGGGGAUUUCGGUGAACCGCGAGGUUGAAUGAGACGAAGGAUAAAUGGCGGACUAAUGAGAACAAACGAAGGGAGGCGAAACGCGACGCGACGGAGGUGGAGAUGGUCGAAUGCGGAGGAAGACCGUGGAAGAACUGAUUGCAGGCGAUGCUCGAGCAACCUGAAGGGGGGAGAUGAAAGAAGAGAAACCGCGAAAUUAAAUGGGUGUGACCCGUCAUACUCGUGUGGGCGAAGUAGUUUCGACCGCGAGCAGAGAAUAAAGAGAAGUUCCCGCCGCCUGAAUGCAAGUGCAUUACCGUUCACAAAUACAUAUUAGGGUUAGAACAAUUAGAGAAAUACAAUGUAUAUAAAUAACCUGACAAACCGUUAGAAGAUUAUUAAACCUCGCUUGGAAUAAUGGGCUGUGAAGAAGCGAUAUGUUCGAUGUAGUGAUAAAAAUCUCAUCGAUUAUAUACGAAGAUCUCAGGAAAAAAGUACAUUUUUGUCGGAUUAUAUUACUUCAAUGUUACUUUACGAAUAAUAGAUAGUAUCUUCGUGUGAUCGUUAAAAACGAAAAGAAUUGAUUGGGGCCAAGGAUUAUGCUUCUCGUAAAUGGCUGAUAGAUCGUGAGAUUUUUGUAAAAAAAAAAAAAAAAACUAUUAAGAACCAAUAUUUUAAUAAUGUUUUUGAAAUUAUAAAGAGGUUGCAACAAUCGAAUAUGCAGACAAUUUUAACAGCCAAUUGAAAUGUCCAAUUGAUCCAGAUUUUUAAAAAAUAAAUGUUAGAACAAAGAAUUACAUAGGAGUCAACGUAUAAUUAACUGUAAAUCCUUUCCGAAUAAUCUUUAAUUUCGACUGUUACAAUGUGUAACAAUCUGGAUCAACCAUGACAUUUUGUACACGACCAGCAGGUAUCCCUAAUACUUAUGAACGGGAAUUUAUAUAUUUUUCUCUCCUUUUCUUCGGUUUCGUCUACUUUUUAACGCGCAAUGGGCUGAAUAACCCAUCGCGGUUGUUGGCCUUUGCAUACUUUUUGUUUAUGUUAUUUUGUUUGUUUAUCGAUCGAAUAUUUUCCACGUCCGUUGUUACUUUUUUCGGACAGGUAGCAAUAUAGCCCUUAAUGUCAACCGGCGUUUUUUCGAUUCAUCGAAAAAGCUAUCGUGUUUUAUUUUACCACAGAGGAUUGUCGUGCGGUUGACGUUGUUCCAGCGAAUACGUUAUUCACUUCCAGUCCGGGGGACAGCUGUAAUUCGUUGAAAUACGCUGGAAAUUUCAGGAUGAUAGUUUUCGCGCUGUUACAUCGAGGACGGGAAAUGCAAAGAGGUAAGAGAACCGGCAAAGUUUCCUGCAAGUAUCGUUCAUUAUGCCAACGUCCCGCGGAACAAAGCAGCGGAACAAAGCAACGGAACAAAGAUAUAGAUCGCGGAACAACGUGGUAAACAACAGUUUUCCCGAACGAAAAACUCAAACAGAUCGGAAGAGUAAAGGCCGCAGGAGGAGGAAAUCCCAAGAUGAGGAAACUUACUGUUUCCGCUCGAUAUCUCGCGGUAAUGGGGAUAGAAUGCUUUAUUUUAACGAAUCGUCACUGGGAAAUAUUCAAAUGUGCUGUUAAGAGAUAAGUAACGAAGUUUUGGCAUAAAUAUUCUGAUCUGUUAGAGGGUAAAAGUAGCAAAAUUUAUUAUAUAAUAUUAAGUAGAUUAUUAUGGUUGCUGUAGCCCUGUACUACUUCAACUUUGUCGCGUUAAAUUAACUCAAAUGAAAUAUUUAUAAUUAGUUUCUUGCGUCCUAGUUGUGGCACGACUAUAUAGCACAGGUUUAAUGGUAAUGUAACUGAUGCAACUAGAUAUUAGGUUGUCCGAAAAGUUUCUUUCGUUUUAUAAGGAAAUAAUAGAACAAUAAUAAAACAGAAAUUGUUCAUCUAUUAUCACCUUAUGAAACGAAAAAAGCUUUUCGAACAACCUAAUAAAAUACGACGAAUAUAAUAACGAUCCACCUAACUACUAUCCCUUUUAAGUUCUCGAAUAUAUUAGUAUAAUUGUAUUAGUAUAAUUAUUAUUUUAUAACACUAAUGCCUAAUAGUAUAUUCAAUUAUACACCCCUACUCAGAAAUACAGCUAUCAAAUUAAAAUGAAGAAUACAUUUAUGGAUUUAUAAGGCAACGAACGUUCAAUAUGAGACGAUGCUUUUAACAGAACCAUCGAAAUGGCUUGCUUAACGAGAUACAAAUGUAUGUAUCUUCGGGAUAACGAAUAGUGAAAAUAAUCGAUGGCGGUGACAUGAAAAAAUUCAUCUGCCACGCGCCGUUCACCCGAUACGGCUCUUCUGUUAACCCACGUGUUACGCUCCUCAGCUUUCAGCUACACCUCCGUCGCCCACGCUGAAAGUCACGGCCCACGUUCGCGAUGACGCAUCUAUAUGCAUCUGGUAUUUGUUUUACAGACAAUCUAGGAGAAAUAAAUGGAGAAACAUCGAUGCAUUUUGAAUGGUUACCUUCUAUCGAGAAACUACGCGAGAAUUACAUAAAUCCUUCUCGCGAUUUACCUCUAUCGUUGGAUCUUUGGUGAUGUUUACUGUUAUAAUUAAUUUUCCAAGACGAACAAAUUGUAUUGCGCGUAUGUCGUACACUGGCACGGGAAAGUGUUUGGAUAUUUACCACAGAAAACUUUUAUGUCUAUGCUUCGUGCGUUACACGUAUUUUGAAAUUUUAUCGACACUGUAACGAGACACUGUAACAUGUCUGUAAAUUUUGAGAUCAAUUUAAAAAUGUAUAUACACGUUACAAGAUAUUUACUGCAGAUGUGUUACUAGCAUACGACGUUCAAAUACUUUUCUGAUCUCUGUGAGAUACAAGUAAACGAACAAUUUUAAUAACAUUUUAACUAUUGAUCAACAACCUGCUGAAUUUUAAAACUGCUCGUCUGUAAAAAAUAGAAAACGUGACUUAUCGUGUUAUUGCUCUUCUAUCAUGAAGUCUUCAAUCGCAUUAUUCCUACUUCAUGAAAUACACGUUAUUUUCAAGAAACUGAUACAUAGCUCGAUCGAUCGUAUUAAACGAUAAAUACAUAAAAAUUACCGGUACUUUCGUAUCGUGGGAUGCGCGAGACGCGUCAUAGGACGCGAGCAAUUCGCGAAAUUUUAUCGUUGAGCGAUUCACCUGGAAAGAGCGGGGGUGAAUAAUAGAAAAAAAGGGUAUUCGAUCGCGUUGCUUGAAUUCCAUUUUUUAGGGCCCCCAUCUACUACCCUUUGGCCCUUUGGUGCAACUCUACAAGGGUCGCGUUAAUUGUCGAGCUGACACGCGCACGUAAGCCCACCUAUCGAAAACCAUGUCUCAUAAUAUAUCAGCGAUGACAUCGAGGCUGUCGUUCGAUCCCUUCCCAUCAAUUUGCGGCAGUGCCAUGUUCCCAGCAUAGACAUAUCCUCAUUUAUCCCAAUGUCCUACACGUCGCCAGCCAAUUUGCUAAUCGAGCCAAUCAUCCAAUCGUAUUAACCUUGCCGGCCAUUCAGAGACCCCGGUCUUCUUUUUAUUGGUUGGUUCCUGCGACAGGUUUCACAUUUGCAAACACACCAGCCUCCAAGGUGUUAAACGGUCUGGUCGUAUCGGGACACGUCGUUUACCUUUAUCGAUCGAUCUACAAGAGCCAUUAACGCCUCAAAAGGAUACUCGUUGCCGUAUAAAGGCGAAUUUAGACUUUACACUUUGGACAUGCAUCGUGAACGAUUUAUUCGCGCGUGAAAGCUAUAAAGAUUGUUCCUAUCUGUGGUUCAUCCGGAAUGGCCAGCCAAAGAUAGAGUCAAUCUCUGCUUUCGAGUUGGAUUAUGGCGAGAGAAGCAAUAACCGACCUGUCGAAUGAAACUAAGCUAUCGUAUCAAGAUCUUCUUAAAUCAAUCCAUAGUAUCGGAAAAGAAGAAUGGAACAGGUUAUGGAGUUCGACCAGGAGAAUCCAACUUCACGUCACAGUUCAAAACUUUUAUCAUCCAAUACCUUUCAUCGAUUCUGUAUUUCAUCGAAAAACUCGCUUAAUUAUAGAUUCUAUAAUUUUACCAUUUAAUGAUAAUUCUAUGGUUUUACAAUGUUUUUACUAUUUUGUUUGCAAUAUUACGAUAAACUACGAUUUGCUUGGUCCUCGUGUGGAUUAAACAGAACGACGAAGGAGACUUUAUCGAAAGGAAUUUCGAACGAGCUCGCAGACUACAAGAUAAAUGGCUCGCUUUAAUAACGAGAACGAUGGACGACGUACGAAGAUCGUACGAUGUGGGAUCACGUAUCGACGAAAACAUAAAGCAUCACAGGGGAUUCCUGGCACGCUCGGUUUAAGUUAGAACCGUAAUCCGAACGCCCCUUUCUUCCUUUAUUCCAUGAACUCCGCCCCGUGAAAUUUCGUCGAUAAAGACGAAACACACGGCAGAAGCAGCGUGGCAGACAGAUUGGCUGACUUUACGCGAUCGCUCGUUAACUCGAAGUAAUCGAAAAUUCUUUCAUCCGGAAUGGGAGAAAAAAGAAUGCGCCUCGACGUAUGGAAGUAUUCUUUAGAGUCAGGUAUUUUGCCCUUUCUCCUGUAUCGAACCAUCGUAAAUCAUCCGUCGAUGUUUCCAAACCGCAGCUCGUUCUUUGACUAAGCAACUUUGAAGAGAGCCUGUAUGUACCGAUAUAUCGAUCUUCGUCUUUUUUAUCUUUAUGAAUGACACCAGUGUGCUCGUUGCUAUUUGCCAGACUAUCCACGCUAUUGCCUAGGUUUCGUAUUUUCCCGUAAUACUUUCCUCCUUUUACGUGUAAUUCUUCGUAACUCGUUACUACUCGCUAUGACAUCUACGUUCUGGACCUCGUCUUUCAAGGAAAAUUACUUAAUUAAUGUAUCCUGUACCUGCGUACUUCUAUCGAAAGCUUCGCAGGAACCGGAACGUAUUGAACAAAAGUUAAAGAUGCUGGAACCUUUCCUUUUGGAAUUUUCUUUCUACAGGAAGAUAGUUUCAUCGCGCACCAGCUGGAGACAGCCGCCACACGGGCAAACGUACAACGCGGGAACCAGCCGACGAACGAGUACACCGGCCCACGCCAUCCGCCUCUGCGUGCAAUUGCACCUCGUAGCAUCGUGGAAAAUUGGAUAAUGCGACUCGCACAGGCCGGGAACAAGCGGAAUCUGACCGACGUUAUACUGACAAACCGUGGCGAUCUUCUUCGAUCCUCGGGGGCAUUUCGAAUUUUCCUCCGCUUCCGGCAAGAACAAUCGCCCUCGAUCUCACGCAAUUCCGCGAAUCGCUUUCCCCUUUUACAACUUUUGUGUGGGUGCGACGAUCUAACCUCGACGAAGGAAAGGUAAAUCAAGAAGGUUUGCUUAAUCGCGUUUCGCGUGGUCGUAAAGUUACGAUCGUCUUAUCCCGUAGAAAUUGGUGAUCGCACGCAACGGGCUGCGUCUAGCUAACUUGUUGGCGAAGCCUCGUUCAAAUUGGUCAAAUAAUUUGAACAUAGGUUUGGAUUAAUAGCGCGUGUUAAGUUAUUCGAAUUAAACGGCUGUUCUGAAUGAAAUUUCUUCGGACAGCGGAUGUUAAAUAAUGUGAGCAGCGAGGAUAAUCUGUGAAAGUCGCAUAGCGCAAAUCAAGUUACUUUAAUUAAGCGGCUUAAUUUUUCGCUUGGGUCUUUGACAACAUUUAUACGUCCUUACUGUUAUUUCAUAUCGCUUUCUUAUUACUUUAGUACGAAGCUGAUAUCGUACACGUUAAUAUUUUGUAUAUAAUGACAUCAAAGAGGAAAUGUCUUGUAUCAAGCGCCGAGAGGAAAGAAAAUACUUCAGAAGUUGGAGAAGGUAGAUAAUUAAUGACGUCAAGAACAGGAACAUGUAAUUGGAAAUUACUCGGCUGUUUCAAGAAGUAGAAAAACUUUAAUGGUAUUGAAAAAUAAAUACCCGCGCUCUGUUUUGCAAUAAUGGUAAUGAAUCAGCGAUAAAAAAAAUGCCACUAUCUAAAUAUAUAUAUAUUAUAACGCUAAUAUCUUGAAACAUUUGGAGAUUUCUAUACAUAUUAUCAACAUUUUAAUUCUCCAUGUUGAAAGCAAGAAGAUUACAUUGAAAAUGACGAUGAACGACCAUCUUAUUUUCAAAUGUUUCGAAAAGACGCGGAUUCUACUAACCGAAAAUUCCCUCGUCCCAACGGUUAUGUCUCUCCAUUAGUCCGGAUACUAGAAAUUCCACUGUAAUGGUUUGUGAAAUGAUUAGUUCAAUUUUCUAAAACUUCCUACGCUUAGACACAUUUCGACCGGAGAAACCGGUUGUCCAUAGACGAUUCUGAGCUAGGAAGAUCGAUUCCGCCAAGUGUAGCUUCUUUUUUCAUCGUGUCACAGAACGAGGCACUCGUUCUUUUUUUGCAAUAACAAGUUAUUCCUUUUUGCCGCGACCAGCGACUGAAGAACUGCGAGAAAGCGGCGCUGGCAACUGGUGUUUCGCGUCGCUUCCUGCAAAGCUAAGCAAGCGGUUGCAGUGCUACGGGGGGACACGUAAUUAACGUUUAUAAACCAACGUGCUCCGGAAUAAAGAGCCCUGGCCGAAUAGUACGCGGCAACUACCUACGUAUACGGAAGUUACGACCCGUUAUUUAUCGCGUUAUUACGCUGAAUAUCGUCCGCCUGUUGGAAAUAACACGAGGCAUUUAAGGGAUCGUAAAGGACACUCGUUUCGUCUUUACGUCGUUUUCCCCUCGAAAUACGAGAAUUAUGUUCGCCAGGUUGUUACGUGCACACGCUAGCCGCUCGUAAAAAUUCUUCGCGGCUCACCACCUCCAAUCUUUCCUGGAUACGGUCACCGUAGAUCUGAUCUAGACAUUUUUUAUCCUUUCGCUAGCCUCGGUUUACUUCGCGCGGUGUUUCCAACGGGUUAAUUAGUCGGAGAAAAUCCGUAUUCUAAUAUUUAGUCUGCGGAUAUUUAUGCAAGUUCGUAUUUGUCUGAAUAGGUAUAAUUAAACAGGUAGAAUGUAGAUAUAGAAAAUUGUUUGAUACAUUAAAUAUCGUAUUAAUUGAUAUAGAGAGUACUAUAUGUUGGAUAUCUUAUACAGGGUGGUUGGUAACUGGUGGUACAAGCGGAAAGGUGGUUCUACGCGAAAAAAGAAGUCGAAAAUAUAGAAUAAAAAUUUUUCGUUUGAGGCUUUGUUUUCAAGAAAAUCGACUUUGAAUUUUCGCUCGGUACGCGUGCACUUUAUCACGUCUCGUUAUAACGGAUCUCACUGUAGAUCGUUGUCUCGAUGGAAAAAUUAAAAAAAAAGAUUUUUUUUUUAAUUUUUAUUCUAUAUUUUCGACUUCUUUUUUCGCGUAGAAUCACCCCCUUUCCGCUUGUACCACCAGUUACCAACCACCCUGUAUAUCUUUGCGUCUUUAAAUUUUCCAUGAAAGUCCGCGAUAUUCAUAUCGCGAUAUGAAAUUGAGCCAUUGGCGACAGAAAAAUCUUUUUAUAUCAAAAGCAUCAGGAACGGAUUGAUGAUACCAGGUAACAUACAAUUUUUUAUUUACGAUAUGAAAUCACUUAUUAAAACAAAUAAAAAUAUUUACAAAGUAUGGAAACAAUAAAAGAAUAUGUGUAUUCAAUCUUCCAGAUGAUAUUUAAUUUGAGUAAAAUAUACUCGUGUUAAUUGUUUAAAAAUGCAAUACAAUUUUAUUUGUAUCAAAUACGUAUAUUCAAUUUUCUAAAUCAUAUUUUAUACGAAUAAACAUAAAAAGAUUAUUUUAUCUGGGUGUAACCGAAAUCUGUAACGCGUAACUUCAAACGACGUAAAUUUAAUCUACGAAAUCGUCACAAUGGCCAUUCAAAGGAAUUCAAACGAAAAUAUGAUGGACGUUGGAUCAAAGUUGCAAUUAAUAUCGCCGAUGAAUACUGAAAGCGCUUUUCUUUAUCAUUUCUCUGCCUUUAUACUAUAACACGUGAUAACUAGCGGCGAUAUUUUUCCGAACGGCAGUGAUUUCCGCGCGCUAAUUGCUCCGGCCAGUCUACAAAGUAAACCAUUGGAAACACGUAAUGAUUUUGAUCGAACGAACGUUGAUAAAGCUCGCGGGCUACGUAUCCGAUGGAACAUGCAACCGGUAUUCGUUCCUAUUUCCCUUAUCGCGUUAUAAAAUUAUAUUAUACAUCUACCAGCUGAAUCGAUUUUACGGUACAAACCAUAAAACGUUCCCACCCUACGCCUUUGAAAAUCAAAUAUAUUCGCGCCCUAUAGACGUACAAUCGUGAAAAUCCGUAUUCCAUACGAAACUAAUUUUCCAAACGAUAAAAGAGAGAGAGAUACACUGGUACAUUAGCACUCUAAAAUAUCUGGCUAUUUGGUUAUUUUCAACAACGUGUUAUUUAAUUGCAGGAUCACAAGUAAAAAGUUAUACACGAACGAAAAUUGUUUGAAGGAUAGGUACAUCGAUAAACCGUAUCUACAAUUUUAAUACAACUGCUAUUUACUUUUUAAAUUUAUUUAAAAAUUAUUAUUUCUUUGAAUGAAAUAAAUUGCUUAAUACUUUUGGACGUUCUCGUUGAUUUCCAGUUUUCUAAAUUCGUUUUUAUCUCUAGUUUCAUUUUGCUAACAUUCAUGCAUCAUUGCUAAAAAUAUAAAUCGGCUAGAAUGUUUGGAUACUUCGUAGUAUUAGCGUAGAAGAUCGUUUACGAGACCUUUUUCUAGUUUCUCGAAUAACGGGACAAUUACAGACGGCUAGGAACACAGUUUUGCAAACUAGGCGUGGAUUUAACGAGCCGAGACUUCUUGAAGGGUUAAUACGUUCUCGAAUCGGUGACCGUGACAUCGAAUUAGCCGCAAUUUGCUGAUCGGCUUCCUUUUUUUUCUAUCGAACCGCGCAAUUAAGGAAUAAACUUCCGUUUAGACCAGGCACAUGUGCACACCUUUUUCUCGAUCUCAUUCACGUUCCUAUUGACGCAAACGAAUAUCGUUGAUAGUGUGCAGAGUGACAGUCGUGGUUGGACUAUUGGAUUGCACAGCUCGUUGCAAACGGAUUCUCAAUCCUGAUCGAAUACUUUAUCGAAAAACGGAAUCUAUUUCGACAGGAUCGUCUAGUCAAAACGGAGGAAACCCGACUGAAUUUUUAAAUCUCCGAUAGAGGAUUGUACACAGCGAUUGUUGGCUCGAUUCUGCCCGAUACCUUUCCCAGAUUACAUACGUAUAUUAUUGUUAUUACGAUUAUUAUUUAUUAUAGAUGGGAAAAAACUCCGAUUGGCGUGGGAAGAUAGAAAUCUGCAGGCGAGUAAUUGAGACACGCGUUAUACAAAAAUUAUACAUAAUACUACAGUUAAUAUUAUUAUCUUAUAAAAUAAUUAAAUAAUUUCUUAUUUUGUUACGCAAGGAUAGUAAAUCGAGACUUAUAAAAAGAUCCACUACAAAGCUAGAAUUGUAAAACCGUGGAAAUUAUACCGUGUGAAACGCGUAAGCUCCAGGAAUUAUAAAAGCACGAAGUAAAUUAUUAUAACCAUAUUGUACAGCAAAAGUUAUGAAAACUACGUACAUUCGCUACAUCGUUUUACUGGAACUUUAAAAGACACAAUCAUAGCAAAUCGAAAGAUAACAAAAGAUUAUACCGUUUAAAAUCUGCUGCAGUCUACUUUCUCUUGAAAUUGACCAUUCGUGAUAAUGGAGAACAGUACGUAGGACGCAUGUACCAUACUAUGCAGUAUAAAGUUAUAUACACCUGUGUGGGCGGAGAAGAAAAAUACCGUGGACGCGGGAAAGACUUGCCCUCGGCGAUCAGCCGGCAGCGACGUCUUGAUUACAGUAGAACCGGAUCGAGUGAGAGUUAUGCGACCAUUCCCUCUGCUCUACACAUGUUUAACUACAGACGAAUCGAUCACGAGUAUAUUUUCUCUAAUUAAAACCGAUACACACGACAAUGACGCUUAUUAAUCGAUCAUUCAUCGACGAAGGCUGAACAUCGUGUUAAGUGCUCUUUAUCUUAUUAAGUACAAACAAUUGUUGGCUCAACAUGGAUGCAUUAACCGACUAAUGGAUACUGUUGAAGCGUAUGAGAAUUUAAUGCAGCUUAAAUUCAGCGCAGUUGUAAUUAUUUAAUACCGCUCCACUUACAAUAUCCACGUACUCUCGUAAAUUUCAAUAUGGACAUAUUUACAGUGGCUGAGGAAAAUACUCGAACAUUUAUCACGGACAAUUUCUAUGAAUACAUCACGUGCGUAAUACGAAAGUUUUCGAAGUUUCAUUAAAACUAUAACGAGACAUGAUUUUCAUGACGAUAUUGGUAGAGUUUGCAACAAAGUCCAAAAUGUAUAUACAGUGGUUCGCAAAACUUUCAAGUCCGCGCUGUAUGCGUUGCAGAAAACAUUUUCAGAUAUCAUUAACACUGCAAUGAGACACGACUGUCGGGAUUGCAUUGACAAAAUUUGGUCCAAUUUGAAAAUGUAUAAAAAUAUUUAUUGUGAAAGUUUAUUUAACCAAGGACUGAUUAAUUAUCACACAAUUGUUAAGUGCUAAAGACACCGAAUAGAACAUUUUAUAUUACAUUAUUAUAAUGGACAAUUAAUUGCUCAAAUAUUUGUAUCAUUUCCGUGAGAUAUAUGUUUGCGCCAAAUACUUUGUAGGUAAUUUUUGUAUAGAUUUUCACAUUUGUUCCUUCGCCAAUAUAUUAGAUCGUCUGAAAAGUUUCUUUCGUUUUACGAGGAAAUAAUAGACGCACAACGUCUUUUGUUUUAUAUUAUUUUGUCGAAUUACGUACGAUCCAUUUUGUUACGUUGAGAUAAACACCGCGACAUUUCACAGACUUGGUUUCACGUUUAUAUGAACGUGCACUGUUGUAAAAAACACGUUCGCAAAGAAAAGACACUUUCCGGACAACCUAAUGCAUACUCAUGAUGCUUCAGUCUCAUUGCGGUGUUAAUGAAAUUUCAAAAUGAUUCGUGUAAGACGUGUAAAUAAUGUACGUAUCGAUAAAGAUUGCUGCAAGUGUCUGAAUUUUUUCGUGAGCAAUUAUAUACGCGUAAAUAAAACGGUACAAUAAACUCAGGUUCGUUUCCGCAACGACACGACGUCGAUAAUUAUGUGCUCAGGAAACGAUCGAAGGAAGCUUGUUCCUUCGGCAGGAAUUACUUCCGCGAUUCGACGCCAAGAUUCGACUAAUUAUGUGCUCGUCUAAGUGCAAACAGAAAUCGACAAGCGACGUCCUUCGAGGAGACUGAGAAACGGAACGACGGUCUGCGAACAAUAUCCGACGACGAGAAUUUCCAGCUUGUUAAUAUGUAUAUCGGAACUGAAAGCUGUAGGAUCACAGCACAGGAUACGACGAAUAUUAAUUUAAUUAAAAUAUCCCUAGCACUGCUUAUACUUGUUAAAUAAUCGCCAUUUCGUAAUUACGACGAGGAUAAUAACCGCGGAAAGCUUGCAAUCUCACUUGCGUAUUAAUGUAGCAGCGUGUGUCCCCAGUGGCAACCAGUUCAAUUAGAAAAAUGAACUAGCCUUCUCGUGUAGUGCAACAAGGCCUCGUUUCCAACCAUGCUUCCUGAAUGUUGUACUUAUUAAUUAAAAUUGAUUUAAGUACAUUGAUACACGAGAUCUUCGCUUGAAAGUUUCAAGUUCAUGGAAGGAUAACAGUUACGUUAAAAAGUUCUUCCACUUUUUCAAAUGGAGGAUGAUCGAAAACAAUAAAAAGGGAAAGUCUGUCGUCGAUAAUUGUUAUUAGUGAACGAAAAAAAAUUCCGUCAUUGACAUCCUGUCUAACGAUAAUCAGAAAGAAACUCCAUCGUCUAUAACGAUUAUCAAAAAAAAAAAAAAAAUCGUCGACACGAUUUCGAAUUUCAUAAUCCCAUUUCCAUAAGAAAAACGUAGCUAAGAAAAUCGUAGGUCUUCGUUUAAAUUCCCUAUGAAAUAACAGACAAUUCACUAUCGAUGACUCGGGGUACUUGGCAUAUUUAUAAACGAGGGUAUACGUCAACGUGGCUUAUCGAUAUAACGGAGUGGUUCUCGAUGUGACCAGUUGGCGAAGGGAGUAACCGCAAAAAUGGUGGUUAACGUAGCGGGAAAAAGGCGAGAUGAAUGUCGCAGAAAUCUGAGCCAUAGGAGAGGGGUAAAAGUUAAAGCGACUGGAGAGCAUGCAAAGGGUAAUCUCGUCGGGGUAAAUCGUAGGGAACAACGAGACGCGGGCAGAGCAAUCUCUGCCUCGAGAUAGCGUCCUCUUCCUUUCUAUUCCUCCCCCUAGUCCGGUGCAAGUUAAAGCGGGGAAAGUUAGGGGUGGAGAUUAUGGUGGACGAACACGAAACGCUGCAUCGUUUCCCUUCGUGCGGACGAAGCUGCCGCUGCUUCGCUAUAAUCUGCUGCUCCCUUGCUGUCUCUGGUAACGACUUCCAGGCGAAUUGAGAGACAGCGUGUUCAAGGAUUGUUCGCGUACGGUUACGCGAAAGCGGUGUUUACCAUCUACCUGUGUAUUUCGCUUCCAGAGGCGGUCGUUGGUCGAGACUGGACAAACGUUUGAAAUAUUCGCCUAUUUGCAUAAGGGGCGCAACGGAUGCGCUCAUGCUCGCGUCGAUGGAAAUGUUGCAAAAACAGUAACGAUACCGCGUUCAGAGAUCGCUUUAUUUGUUCCACGUCGAGUCACGUUCGCGUGAUACGUCGACAAUGAGAUAGAUUUGCUCGAAUUUCGCAGGAUAAACUAAUAGGUUUUCUAUGAUAACUAAAUGUCAGUAUUAUUGUUUUCACCCGUGUGUGAACGCGAAUGAUGCGUCAAAUUAGAUUCACCUGUGUCGCCAGAUAUCGAUUGAACUGGCGCGCGUAUGAUGGCAAAAAUAUACGUUUGCUCUCUUUUCGUAAAACAUUUUCGAUCGGAUGAUUUUCCAACGUAUUUUUUCCUCUCUUUGCUUUUUCUUUUAAGAGUACGUAUACACAGAUUUAGGGAAUAUGUUUGGAAAUGGACUGUUUAUCGUCACGGAGUCAAUAAGCCGAUGACACGUUGCGCAAACAUUUGAUUUAAACGACGAAUACGUCCCAUCGAUGGAUCGUCUACGAUGAGUCACGAUAGGAUUUGACCAUCGAUUUACUUUGUUCCCGAGGAUUUAUCAUGGAAUAUAAAAUCCACCAUUCUUUUUGCAUUUAUUGUGGUAAAGGGGUCAAUAGCUUCGUUCGAUACGAUCGCAACCGUUCAAUUCAAGAUCGAAACUUCUUUAUGGGAUCUGUUCACUGGCAAAGAGAGAGAGAGAAAGAGAGAGAGAGAGAGAGAGAAAGAUACAACGCGAAGGCAAACAAAACGGCAUCCAGACGGCUGGUUGAAAGCAGCCUUCGAGUUCGCCGAAUCCAUUAAGUUCCGUACUUUGAAUACCACUAGCAUCGAAGUCGAGUCGCCUCGGUAUGCGAACCUUCGCACGGAUCCUUCCGGAAGCCGAGGAAGUUUACCGUUUGCGUAGGACACGAACAACAUUCGUUGGUCGAAUUGAUUCUUCGAUAGAAUAAAGAAUUUAACUUUGACUAGAUUUCCAACGACAUUAUGAAAUGCGAUUUGUUUUAACGAGACGUGUUCUCCGACCGAAAGGAAAACACAUGCUGGUCGUUCUUCCGUGAAAGAAGAAACGCGCUUUGGUGAACGUCAAUUGCUGUCGUGACAAAUUUCGUUCGAACGCGAAGCAAUUGCUUCCUGUAUGCUAACGAAUUCCGUGCACGUCUCUUAAAAAAGUUCCUUCCGUCGCUUGGGUGGUGGUUAAAAAUUUGUGAAAGGGGGGACAAAGAGAGAACGAACGUCGAUAGCCGAAGCUUGCAAUCAAGAACGGCCCGGAAUUCCAAAUACGUAGUAAAGAGCUAUUCAAUUGUACAAAUGUAAUUGUUUAAUUGUAGAUUCGUUAAAAGGAUUACUAAACAUACGAAUACGAUAUAUGAAAUGAAAUGAACGAAGAAACGGGGAAGAAAAUAAUGUUUCGUCCUUCUGAACGAGAUUAGCAUGUACGAGUCUCGAACGAUAUUUAACCAGAUGCAAGCCAACUAUAACGAGUUCCUAUCGAAUAUAUUGUUAAUUUGUUAAUAUCACCUAAUGACAAAAUCCGCGAUUACUUAGUUGCCAACCCAAUAGGAAAAGAAAAAUUUUCUACAGAGAAGAGACGGCAAAGGAAGAAACAUUUUCGUAGCUAGCGCACCCUAGUAGUAUGAAAAUUUUCAUACUCGAAAUGUCAUACGUGGCAUUUUAUCAUCCGAAACGCGCUUUCUCUAUUUCAUCUCCUGUCACCGAUAUGAAAUUCGCUUCGGUACUUCGAUAUUACACAUAGAAGUAAAUCGAAUUCGGUUUCCUCGGUGUUAUUCUCGAGAAGGAUCCACUGGUUGGGAGGAUUAAAAUCUUUACGAUCACUUUUCUCGGUCCGUAAGAGGAUCAGUCUCGCUUCGUCGCACUGAAAAUACCUAUUGGAAGGGUAGCAUCGGAGCAUAGUUCUCAGCUUUGCAUACAAUUCCCUUUCUCCUUCGAAAAUGGAACUCGAUCGAACGAAUUGUCACGAAACUUGACAGUUUAAGGGCACAAAAUGUGCAACUCGAGUAGAACGAACUUCGUAACGACGCGUGAAAACGUUCUAUGUCUAUGUUUCCGUGAAUCGAAAUUUCUCUAUUAUCCAACUUAAUGUACGGAAAUUCAUGUUUGUUUUAAUAUCGUUAUCGGGUUGUUCGGAAAGUUUGUAGUUCUCUAUGUUAUAUACUUCGUCGUAUUAUGUACUUUGGCAAAAUAUUGCGGUGCUGCGAUUGCAGAAGAAUAUUUGACAUUAGUCGAUAGAAAGAGCAUCGUAUUUCGAUAAGGAAAAAAUAUUCCCAUUCUUUGAUGAGAUGUAACUAAAAAAUAUUUGAUAUUCAUCAAGAGCGUAAUUCAUCUUAUCCAUAUUUUAAUCCUUUUAAGACUUUUAUAAAACAGUGUUUUCACGGUGGAAAGCGAGAUAUUACAGAGGCCUGUAAAAAUUGUUUUUCGCAAUUCAUCGAUAAGAGACUCAACGUUAAGUUUUGCCAUGAGCUUCUCGUAUAAAUACAAUAUGCGCUACACCCGCGAUUUAAUCCUCUUCGUCAAGGAAUUCUUCCUUCUUUGAUGUAAGGUAGAGUCAAGAUGUCUGCUCGAAAGAUCUGGCGAAAGAUCGUAACGUCGAAGAAGAUAAAGUCUAGCUUGACGCUUAUUGACACGACGCGAAUACAAGCCUGAUUUAACGAGGGAAACUUUAAUUGCGAGUUAAUGCUUGUACAAUUAGCAAUCUCGGGAACUGAAAACUUGUUAACCAUCGACUUCCUCCGCAGAAAACCCCGACAGGCAAUACGGCGGAUUACACGUGGUGUGCCCCAAAAGAAUGAAAAUCCAAUUGGCGACGUAAUGGAGGAUCGUGCCUUGGGUUCCCUCCCGCCUACUUAGUAUCCCUCUGAUCCCUACAAACUCUCAACUCCCUCGGGGACUCGCUUUUGGUUACGUCGAUGCUCGUUAUUUUUCCAUUUUAAAAUCUACGAGAAAUUACUCGCAUAGAAGAUACAGAUUUCAUUUGAUUAUUUAUACUUGAUGUGAUUUUUAUUAUAUAACACGAAAUACAUAAACUUUUUUAUCGCGACCAUAUAGAUAGUAUCAUGUAGAAGCUUUAACAACAAUCUCUAACAAUCCUUUGAUUUUACCUUUACGAGCGAGGAGGUACAUUAAAAAUUACAAAACCUUCAAAAAUAAUUUAGCUUGCUCGGUUAAUACGAACAAACGAACGAUAUUAAGUGUAUGAAAGCAAUGAAACUGUUCUAACUUGUUUCCAUGAUCCCCAAACUACCAACAAAGCCUCAUCUCUCCAAAAAAAAAAAAAAAAAAAAAAAAAAGAGGAAGCGAAAAUAUUGAAUUAGAGAUUGUCGAUAUUAAAGGAGAUAUUAUAAAAUCCAAGUAUGUUCCAAUACGAAUAUUCAUUUUCAUCUAAUCAUUUUUCUUCCUUGUAAUAUCGAACUAAGAAAAUGUAAACGUGAAAAAUAAUACUAUGAGAAUGAUGAAACGUUAGAGAAGACUUCGUUGAUAAAUGAGAAUACGAAAGCUCAAAGUAAUUCAUUUCCUUGGCAAACAUCUUACGUGCCGACGUGGUCGCGAAGGUAGUGAAUCAGAAAUAAUGUUUGAAAAUAGAUAUCAAAUUUAUUGCACGCUUCAAUUGUAUAACCUGGUCGUGUGCAACAGUAACCGUACUUAAAAUGUCAUUUGUCCUCACGUAGCAACGGUAUCUUACUCCUUGAAUGUAGAAUGUACUCUUUGUCAAAUAUUUCUUCCUUUCUUCAGCUAGAAAAUCUAGGUUUUAAUAAUUAAAUUGUCCUUCGAUAAUCGAUCUUAUCUCUUUUCGGGCGGUAUAUAUAUCAAAAACUAUGAAAAAUAACGAAAAAUCAUCAAUUCACAGAAAUUUCAUUCUAUCACUGGCAAUUGCUUUAUAUGUAUAAUGGACGA